AUACGUAGGGAGCGAGCGUUGUCCGGAAUUACUGGGUGUAAAGGGAGCGUAGGCGGGAGUGCAAGUCAGAUGUGAAAUACAUGGGCUCAACCCAUGGGCUGCAUUUGAAACUGCAUUUCUUGAGUGUAGUCGAGGUAAGCGGAAUUUCUGGUGUAGCGGUGAAGUGCGUAGAUAUCAGGAGGAACACCGGUGGCGAAGGCGGCUUAGUGGGCGUUUACUGACGCUGAGGAUCGAAAGCGUGGGGCGCAUACAGGAGUAGAGACCCUGGUAGUCCACGCUGUAAACGAUGAUUACUAGGUGUGGGGGGACUGACCCCUUCCGUGCCGCAGGUAACACAAUAAGUAAUCCACCUGGGGAGUACGGCCGCAAGGUUGAAACUCAAAUGAAUUGACGGGG
rnacentral:rRNA from 1 species